GGGGAAGCCACUGCCACUAGUCCUAUUUCAACACAGAAGCACAAAAUCACAAAGGCAAACUUGAAUUUCUAAAAGAAGCUUCUCCUAGAAAACUAAUAGUAAUCCUCAUUAACAUUGAUAGAAAGAUAUACCUAGAUAUCCUCUUUUUCUUCUCCAACUGCUCAUUAUAAAAUCCAUAAUAGGGAAAUCAGAUUGUGCAGAAAAGAGAAGACAGAGAAACAGGAUACAAGAAGUCAUUGGCCUGGGCUUGCCAGCUCACCACUAUUUUGGAAUUAAGGCACAAAAUUUAUUGUAUAAGAGCUAAUUCCAUCUAACUGCACUUAUUUUAUUGACA
rnacentral:misc_RNA from 1 species